AGCCAAUCUGUCGCCUCAUGUCUUGAUACCUGUAAAAGAGAAACAUGAAGAUAUAAGAAAAAGACCAGAGGAGCGAACGGAUGAUCUGCGAUUCAGAAAGAGGAGCAGAAGCUGUUCAGAAUCAACGUCAAACGCGUUUAGGAAAUGGACAGAAGAUGAGAGCGCAGACGCGUCCCAAACCGAUGCUCUCGUUCAAAGUGUGAAUGUCCGCGGUGACAGAGCGAGAGGGGCAGACAGACAGCGUGUCCUCGCACUCGUACAGAAGAGGAAGCAGAGUCUGUUAACACUCACACCUGUCAGCCCACGGGAUGCUCGCUGAAUGAGAUGCGAACGGAAUCCAGCGACAGAUGAAGGAGUGCAAGGGACACUAGCUCCUCUUCUAUUAGUGCCGUUUGCUCUUCUCCUGCUCAUACUGAGCAAAACACAAGUCAUGUCUACAGAUCAGAAUAUCAGACAGACUCAAGGGGGGUUUGUUUAGUUCAGUGACCACUUAGCAACCACAUAGCAACACACUAAAAACACUCAGAACACCUCAGAGACUGCAUAGCAACACCUUGGCAACCAAUCGAAAUACCAAGCAAGCACUCCAAGAUGAAGCUAUUGACUAUGAAGCAACACCCUACAGCCACUUAGCCUAGCAACCACAUAGCAACAACCUAAAUUUAUUUAGAACAUCCUAGCAAAUGCAUAGCAACACCAAUCUCUUUAGUCCUACAUAGCAACAUUCUAAACCCACCUGCUUUUCUCCUGCUCAUACUGAGCAAAACACAAGUCAUAAAUAAAGAUCACACUAUCAGACAGACUCGAGGGUUGGGUUUGUUUAAAUGAGGCCAGUUACCACUUAGCAACACACUAAAAACACUCAGAGAACACCUCAGAGUCUGCAUAGCAACAGUCUGGCAACCAAUCGAAAUACCAAGCAAGCACUCCAAGAAGAACCUAUUGACUAUGAAGCAACACCCUACAGUCACUUACCCUAGCAACCACAUAGCAACAACCUAAACUUAUUUAGAACACCCUAGCAGCUGCAUAGCAAUACCGAUCUCUUUUGUCCUGCAUAGCAACAUUCUAAACCCACUUAGAACACCCUAGCAACUGCAUAGCAACAACCUAAACAUAUUUAGAACAGUCUAGCAACUGCAUAGCAACAACAUAAACAUAUUUAGAACACCCUAACAACCACACAGCAAAAACCUAAACUUAUUCAGAACACCCUAACAAACACACAGCGACAACCUGAACUUUUUACAACACCCUAGCAACUGCACAGCAAUAGCAAUCUCUUUAGUCCCACAUAGCAACAUUCUAAACCCACUCAUAACACCUUAAAAGCCACACAGCAACAACCUAAACUUACUUAGAACAGCCUAGCAACUGCACAGCAAUGCUCAACAAAAAUCCCUAGUCAUCCCUAGAACAUCCUAACAACCACAGAGCAACAUCCAGAACGCGCUACAUUGUUCUGGCAAACCCGCAGCAUCAAGCAUCUGCUGCUGCGUUUCAUCAAGGCACAGCUCACAGGCUCUCCAGUAAGAGAACAGUGUAUUUCAGAGUCUGUAGUGAACGGGUGAAAGCUUGGGCUUGAUGCUCCUUUACUGUGAUGCCAGUGAAGUUUGGGCUCUGAGAGACAGAAUGAGGAGAAAAAAGCAAGAGAGUGAAGAGUCAGCAGCAGCAGCAAUAGCAGCCUCUCUCAGGUCAGCAUGACACCUCCAGCAGAACACAGAGAGAACAGACUGAUGAAAGCUGAGGCUACGGCUCUGAAAGAGGCCCGACGGGGGGCAAACAGCACCGGAGAACAAAGACAGAACAGCCCAACAGAUUCUUAGAAAUAUGAGAGACGGCGUCCUCAAGACAUCAGCACUUUUUCUGAUGAAAGCCCUCAAAAUGCCAACCAUGCGCUGCUUUAUUUUUUGGGUUUUGUAGAGUUCCAGGACAUGAAGUGUAAUCAGGUUGAAAUGCUGUCAGCAAGUAAACAAAUUAAACUUCAUUACAGCUGACAGUGUGUUGAGCUCUACGU